GGUGAACGCUGGCGGUAGGCCUAACACAUGCAAGUCGAACGGCAGCACAGUAAGAGCUUGCUCUUACGGGUGGCGAGUGGCGGACGGGUGAGGAAUACAUCGGAAUCUACUUUUUCGUGGGGGAUAACGUAGGGAAACUUACGCUAAUACCGCAUACGACCUACAGGUGAAAGCAGGGGAUCUUCGGACCUUGCGCGAUUGAAUGAGCCGAUGUCGGAUUAGCUAGUUGGCGGGGUAAAGGCCCACCAAGGCGACGAUCCGUAGCUGGUCUGAGAGGAUGAUCAGCCACACUGGAACUGAGACACGGUCCAGACUCCUACGGGAGGCAGCAGUGGGGAAUAUUGGGCAAUGGGCGCAAGCCUGAUCCAGCCAUACCGCGUGGGUGAAGAAGGCCUUCGGGUUGUAAAGCCCUUUUGUUGGGAAAGAAAAGCAGCAGGUUAAUACCCCGCUGUUCUGACGGUACCCAAAGAAUAAGCACCGGCUAACUUCGUG
rnacentral:rRNA from 1 species